CCCUUAGAUGUUCUGGGCCGCACGCGCGCUACACUGACGAAGUCAGCGAGCAUGUCCUACGCCGACAGGUGCGGGGAAUCUUGUCAAACUUCGUCGUGAUGGGGAUUGAUUAUUGAAAUUCUUGAUCAUCAACGAGGAAUUCCUAGUAAGCGCAAGUCAGCAGCUUGCGUUGAUUACGUCCCUGCCCUUUGUACACACCGCCCGUCGCUCCUACCGAUUGGGUGUGCUGGUGAAAUGUUCGGAUCGGCCGUUUGUCGCGGUUUCCGCGUCAUGUGGCUGAGAAGUUCAUUAAACCCGCCCACCUAGAGGAAGGAGAAGUCGUAACA
rnacentral:rRNA from 1 species